GUUUUACCGAAGGUCUGGAGGCUUCAGCGCUGUUCGCCUGUUUGAGUGUCCGUUUUCAGUUCCAGACAUUCAAUGGCAGACACCGCUGUUCGGGAGCUAAAAUGGCCGCGAACACGAGGAAGUCCCGAAAUGGUGGCGAGACCUGCCAUUCGUGCAAAACUUCUGCCGAACGUAAUCCAGCCAGCAAGGGGGUACAGUCUGUAUAAAAGGGUGACAGGGGGGUCGGCAUUCGGUAGUUUUACCUACCGAAUGCCAUAGGGGAACAUUGCUAUAAACACAAAUACAAAGAGGGCAUAUACAGUUAAAAAAAAGGCAUUUCUUCACACUGCUCCGCUAUAAGUCCAUAGGUCGGCAUACCCGCCAAGACCCUGAUGGGUUGGCUUGGGGAUGUCCGAGGGGCAACAACGAAACAGUCCAGGUUAAGUAUCCAAUUCCAUUUGGCGGGACAAACCGUCUGCAUUACCAUUUUGUUUGCCCAGACGAUAUUGCAUGGUGAAGUUGUAAGGUUGAAGGGCUAGGCUCCACCGUAAAAGUCUAGGGUUAUCGCCAGCCACCCGGUUUAACCACACCAACGGGUUGUGGUCGGUCAUCAGAGUAAACGGCCGGCCGUACAAAUAAGGUUGGAGUUUCUUAAGGGCCCACACCAGGGCUAGGCACUCCUUCUCGACGGUGGCAUAGCUGACCUCCCGGGGCAACAGUUUACGACUUAGAUAGGCCACCGGGUGUUCCAUGCCAUCGUCUCCCACCUGGCUUAACACGGCUCCCAGCCCAAACAUGGAGGCAUCUGUGUGGACAAGAAAUUGUUUAGAGUAGUCUGGUGCUGCCAACACAGGAGCCUCACUCAAUGCUGCUUUCAGUUUCUGGAAGGCUGCCGCGCACUCUGGGGUCCAGGUAACCUGUUUGGAAAGGGCCUUUUUGGUGAGAUCAGUGAGGGGUUUGGCCAGGGCGCUAUAGUCGGGGACAAAUUUCCGGUAAUAACCGGCUGUUCCUAAGAAGGCUAAGACCUGGGUCUUAGUCCGAGGUUGGGGCCAAUUCGCUAUGGCCUCUAUUUUGGCAGGCUCAGGCCGCUGUUUACCUGACCCUACCCUGUGGCCGAGGUACUGUACCUCCGCCAUACCCACGUGACAUUUGUCCGGUUUCAACGUAAGUCCCGCUUAGUGAAUUCUCUCGAGCACCCUGGACAUGUGGCCUAGGUGGUCUCCCCAUGUGCGGCUGUAGACAGCAAUAUCGUCUAAAUACGCACAUGCGAAGUCCUGGAG